UGGUCCUGCUAGCUAAUUUACCUCCCUUAGAGAUGACACUGUGCUAACAGCAUUGUUGGUACACAACAGCUUUUCAUGAACAUGACACAUUCUUGAAAACUAUAUCAUGCCCCGGGGCCCUCUGCUUCAAAUAAACAUAAAAAAUCAUGCUUAGUGUGACAGAAAACAGUAUGGGAAGAAGAGAAAAGGCAUGCUACUCAUGAUUUAUUUCAUAACAAAAUUGAUAAGGUGAUGGAAAUGGCUAAGACAGACUGAACGACGAGUUCGCUUCAAACAGACAGCAAAAAACUGUAGGUUCUGCAAAUCAUGUUUACAAAAAAUGUACUCCUAAGCAUCCAAUUUUUAAAAUGUCUCUGCAAAUAUUCCCUCAAGGAACCAGUAUCUUGUGAGCCCACACUUCUACUCACCAGACUAUUUAGCUGCUAAACCAGAAAAAAUGUUUUGACUAGUACCUCGUUCUGUUCUAUUAAACUUAAAGCAUCUGCCAAAUCUGCAGACCUGCAUUUGUGGUACAUCAGUACUCCCUCUGUAAAUAUAAGAUAUUUUAGAUCACUACUAGUGGUCUAAAAGAUCUUUCCAGAUCACUACUAAAAGAUCUUUUUAGAUCACUACUAGUGAUCAUUUCUUAAAUGCAAAGUUCCUAGUCACUGCCCUAUUAAGCUGCUAAUCAAAAUUUACAACAUUUGACAACCAAGUAGUUUUCAUCAGUAAUGCACUGUGGAAGAACAAUCUUAAUUACUUCCUUGCGACUACCGGACUCUAUCCAAAUUAUCUGAACAGGGACCAAAUUUCUACAAAUGUACUAUAUCCCAAUUAUCACCUAAGAUUUUUACAUCUCUAUUAAUGUUAGUAUGUUGCGAACUAACCUCUUAGCCCACAAUGGACCUUGAGGGUUGACCUUACCUAUACACAGCCGCGACACCUGCGGCGAGUUGCCCCUUCUGUGCGUGCAAAACAGAAAAAGAUCACGAUAUACUUACGAAUCGACAUACCUCCUGAUUGAUUAGUUGCAUUAGGAACUUCAUCGUUGGCGGCCGCCUCUGCUUCCUAUCCCUCUUUCUCACUCCUCUGCUUCCAAAUGCCGUCCAUGCUGGGGCCUUUGGGGGAGAAGAGCCAGAGCUCUGCAUCCAAUUUGUGCCUGCAGCCAUUCGACGGAAAAGCGGAUUUCCUGAGCCACGGACCAAAUUGAUUUUCGUCUUCCGAUCCGCGGCUUAGCUUGCUGCAUUCCACCUGCAUUGUAGAUCAAGGUUUUCAGAUUUCCAUUUCAUAUUAAGCUACCAAACAACUACAUCAAUUCUAUCUCUUGAAACUCUCAUGCUUACCACUCGUUGACUCAUCAUUCUCGUUCCAGUCACCAGAGGAGUCUGAUUUCCCUCAUUAUCUUUCUUGCUUCUAGAGUUUUGGUCCAGUGGUCCUGCUAGCUAAUUUACCUCCCUUAGAGAUGACACUGUGCUAACAGCAUUGUUGGUACACAACAGCUUUUCAUGAACAUGACACAUUCUUGAAAAUUAUAUCAUGCCCCGGGGCCCUCUGCUUCAAAUAAACAUAAAAAAUCAUGCUUAGUGUGACAGAAAACAGUAUGGGAAGAAGAGAAAAGGCAUGCUACUCAUGAUUUAUUUGAUAACAAAAUUGAUAAGGUGAUGGAAAUGGCUAAGACAGACUGAACGACGAGUUCGCUUCAAACAGACAGCAAAAAACUGUAGGUUCUGCAAAUCAUGUUUACAAAAAAUGUACUCCUAAGCAUCCAAUUUUUAAAAUGUCUCUGCAAAUAUUCCCUCAAGGAACCAGUAUCUUGUGAGCCCACACUUCUACUCACCAGACUAUUUAGCUGCUAAACCAGAAAAAAUGUUUUGACUAGUACCUCGUUCUGUUCUAUUAAACUUAAAACAUCUGCCAAAUCUGCAGACCUGCAUUUGUGGUACAUCAGUACUCCCUCUGUAAAUAUAAGAUCUUUUAGAUCACUACUAGUGAUCUAAAAGAUCUUUCCAGAUCACUACUAAAAGAUCUUUUUAGAUCACUACUAGUGAUCAUUUCUUAAAUGCAAAGUUCCUAGUCACUGCCCUAUUAAGUUGAUAAUCAAAAUUUACAACAUUUGACAACCAAGUAGUUUUCAUCAGUAAUGCACUGUGGAAGAACAAUCUUAAUUACUUCCUUGCGACUACCGGACUCUAUCCAAAUUAUCUGAACAGGGACCAAAUUUCUACAAAUGUACUAUAUCCCAAUUAUCACCUAAGAUUUUUACAUCUCUAUUAAUGUUAGUAUGUUGCGAACUAACCUCUUAGCCCACAAUGGACCUUGAGGGUUGACCUUACCUAUACACAGCCGCGACACCUGCGGCGAGUUGCCCCUUCUGUGCAUGCAAAACAGAAAAAGAUCACGAUAUACUUACGAAUCGACAUACCUCCUGAUUGAUUAGUUGCAUUAGGAACUUCAUCGUUGGCGGCCGCCUCUGUUUCCUAUCCCUCUUUCUCACUCCUCUGCUUCCAAAUGCGUCCAUGCUGGGGCCUUUGGGGGAGAAGAGCCAGAGCUCUGCAUCCAAUUUGUGCCUGCAGCCAUUCAACGGAAAAGCGGAUUUCCUGAGCCACGGACCAAAUUGAUUUUCGUUUUCCGAUCCGCGGCUUAGCUUGCUGCAUUCCACC
rnacentral:lncRNA from 1 species